rnacentral:rRNA from 1 species
UUCGGUGGUCAUAGCGGAGGGGAAACGCCCGGUUACAUUCCGAACCCGGUAGCUAAGCCCUCCAGCGCCGAUGGUACUGCACUCGGGAGGGUGUGGG